rnacentral:rRNA from 1 species
GAUGAACGCUGGCGGCGUGCUUAACACAUGCAAGUCGAACGGAAAGGCCCUGCUUGCGGGGUACUCGCGUGGCCAACGGGUGAGUAACACAUGGGUGGUCUGCCCUGCACUUCGGCAUAGGCAUGUGCAACUGGGUCUAAUACAGGAUAGGUGCUAUCUUUAGUGGGGUGGUUGGAAAGUUUUUCGGGUGUAGGAUGAGCUGGCGGCCUAUCGGCUUGUUGGUGCGGUGAUGGCGUACCAAGGCGGCUACGGGUGGCCGGCCUGUGUGGGUGUACGGCCACACUGGGACCGAGAGACGGCCGAGACACCGACGGGUGGGAGCAGGGGGGAAGAUUGCAGGAGGGGCGCAGGGCGGGUGAAGCGGGGCCGCGGGGCGGAAGAAUGUCUUCGUGGUGUAAACUCCAUUCGCAAGUGACUAAGCUUUUUGUGACGGUACCUAGAUAGGAAGCACCGGCUAACUACGUG